UACGUAGGGCGCGAGCGUUGUCCGGAAUUAUUGGGCGUAAAGAGCUCGUAGGCGGUGUGUCGCGUCGGCCGUGAAAACCUGCAGCUUAACUGUGGGCUUGCGGUCGAUACGGGCAUCACUGGAGUUCGGCAGGGGAGACUGGAAUUCCUGGUGUAGCGGUGAAAUGCGCAGAUAUCAGGAGGAACACCAACGGCGAAGGCAGCUCUCUGGGACGUUACUGACGCUGAGACGCGAAAGCGUGGGGAGCAAACAGG
rnacentral:rRNA from 1 species